rnacentral:lncRNA from 10 species
GAAGAGGGUUCAGAGGAGACUGACUAAAGUUUGGUUGACGACGGAGUCCUUGUCACAGCAAAGAAUCAUCCUGCCCUUGUCUAUUCUUGGGUAAAACCCACCCCAGCCUUCCUCAUGGCUCCUUUUUGGUGCUGUGUUUCAGGCAGGAGCAGAAUCCUCACCUUUGGAACCCUGUUCACUCCACCCAGAACAAGAAACAGAUCGAGGAAGAGGCAGAGUAACAACAGCCGGGAAGAAGAUACAGUUUUAGAAAUUGUGGAGACUGGGCAAGAUG